rnacentral:lncRNA from 1 species
GCACAUAGUGCCCGAGAGCGCGUCACUUCCGGCGUCACAGACGGUCUUUACAAGCGACUCGUGGGCGUCAAUACUGGGCUGAGUUUGUGGCGCGCUUAGUGAUGGGAUGGCCCUGUGCAGGACGCCGACACGAAAAGAUGAAGAGUUCAAUCCGUGCUGUCUGAACUCACAGUGUAGCAGGCGAGAUAGACGGGAAGAUCGGUAGGGUGGGAGAUGCCGGAAAGGCUUCCCGUGAGACUGGAUAAGAAAUCAAAAAUCUGGUGAAAUUGCCGGCAAGAGGGAGUUAAGGACAUUCCAGGCAGAGGCAAGAUUCCUAAGAUGAGGACACAGCAUCCUGGGCCACUGUCACUAAUACAAAUUUGCCUCUGGAGGGACUCUACGGAAGAUAAUUCCCCUGAAAUUUGGAGAGUUGAAUUAAGCUAGGACUGAUUCUGGCUGGAAUUUGUGGUGGCUACGUACCCUAGAGGGCCUCAAGGAAACCCACGGUUCAAGACAGCCCUGACAGAUUCUGGAGUCUAGAACAGAAAUGGAUUUGAACAUGGGCAAGGCCAACCACCCAGUUCACGGCCUGUGUACAGCAAAGAUUACGUUACAGCCUGAGAGCUAAGCCUGGAAGCUCUUUCAUCCAUCCGUUUGUCCAUCUAUCCAUCCAUCUGCUCAUCCAUCCCUCCAUCUGCUCAACAAACGUUAGAGAAUCAAUCCUUGUGUCAGAUACUGGGGCUGCCCUCAAGGAGCUUUUAUAGAGUUCAGGGUACAGCCAGGUGGGGGAGACAGAUCACUAUAAAAACCUACCACUAUAAUCCAAAGGACAAGAGCAAAAAUAGUAAAGAGGAGAGAAGACCCAAAUUUGCCUGGUGGGUCAGAGAGGGCUUUCUAGAAGAGGUAAAAAAUCUUCGGGGCUAUCACUUCACCUUGCCUGGUGGAUAAAGGGAGGACUUUCCAGAUACAGUGGACAGAAUGUGCAGAGGCAGGAGCCAUGAGUGGCAGAGGCAGGGGAGGGACUGCAGAGACAGGUUGGAGCCAAAGCACGUGGCACUGGAGCCAUAGCCAAAGGAACAAACUGUGAGACCUGGGACUUGAAUUUGGAGGUGGUGAAAAGUGACAAGGUCUUCACAGAAGAGUGAUUUUUUCAACUUAGGGAAGGCUGACCCCAGACCAAUGCUGCCAAAGUGUGGUCUGUGGGCUGUUAGCAGUUCGUGACGAUGUAAGUACAGGAAUUGAGAUUAAGCAUUUAGAACACCUACAGCACUUUGAUAGUCAUUUUACUUUUUAAAUUUUGAGCUGGCAUUUUAUAUGCCUGGUUUUUUUUUGUUUUUGUUUUUUUAUUUUUUUUGAGACAGUCUCGCUCUGUCGCCCAGGCUGGAGUGCAGUGGCGCGAUCUCUGCUCACUGCAAGCUCCGCCUCCCGGGUUCACGCCAUUCUCCUGCCUCAUCCUCCCAAGUAGCUGGGACUGCAGGCGCCUGCCGCCUCGCCCAGCUAAUUUUUUGUAUUUUUAAUAGAGACGGGGUUUCACCAUGUUAGCCAGGAUGGUCUCAAUCUCCUGAUCUCGUGAUCUGCCCGCCUUGGCCUCCCAAAAUGCUGGGAUUACAGGUGUGAGCCACCACGCCCAGCCUUAUUCUCUUUUUCUAAUAGUUGCACUUUAUCAUAUUUUACAAAUGUGUGAGUCUGCUAUGGAUUAGAAAUUAAUAAGAGAUUUUGCCACAGAUAGUUUGAGAAGCCCAGCACUGCCACUCAACAAAUGCUGGUGCAUUCAGAUGGUGAAAUAUUCUGCAGCUAUUAAAGGAGUUAAAACUGCCUCCACUUACCUGGAGGCCCAUCUGUGACACCUUUUUAGGUUAAAAGGAAAAGAAAAACUUGCUUAGGACUGAAUAUGAGCGGUUGCAAUUUGUAACAAUGAUGUAUAUAUACAUAUACAUUUUCAUGUAUUUGUAUGAACAUAAAAGUAUUGAAGGAUAUUCAUCAAACUGCUAAAAGGGUUGCUUCAGAGUAACGGACUCGGAGAAGGCAGAUUAAUUUUCUCUUAAUGGAACUCUGUAUUGUAUCACUUGUAAAAAUAAGCAUGUGUUAUCUUUAUGAUAAAAAAGUAAAAACCUAAAAAAGAAAAUUUUGAUGUGUGUUAAAAUUUUGGAUUUCUAGGCUCCACCUUUUUUGAAUGAGUCUCUCCAAGAGUGGGGCCCUCACAUGUAUAAUGAGAAAAAGCUCCCCGAUUACAGGAUGUUACCAAGCCCCGCUAGGUGUAGGAACCCUGCUUGGUACCCACCCGAGCCUCAGCAGCUCCUCCCCAUCAUGGGCAUGAUGAGGUCUCCCUGUGAGGUGUUGUGAAGACGACGGGACAGGCUGCAGUAGGCACUGAAUAAAUGAGUCCCUUCCCCUGAUGACCCUAAGGCUAUGGGAUCAUCAUCACUCCCUCCCCAAAGCCACACCUGAUUAUUCCAGCCAGCACUCGGCCUGCCCCUUUUCUGAAUGCUUUUUGAUUUUAACUUACAUUUUUCGCAUUUAAAUGUUUCAUUUAAUUUGAGAAAGAGUCUCGCUCUGUCACCCAGGCUGGAGUGCAGUGGUGCGAUCUCAGCUCACUGCAGUCUCCACCUCCUGGGUUCAAGCAAUUCUCCUGCCUCAGCCUCCCAAGUAGCUGGGAUUACAGGCGCCCACCACCACAUGUGGCUAAUUUUGUACUUUUAGUAGAGAUGGGAUUUUGCCAUGUUGGCCGGGCUGGUCUCGAACUCCUGACCUCAAGUGAUCCACCUGCCUCAGCCUCCCAAAGUGCUGGGAUUAGAGGUGUGAACCACCACAGCUGCCUUCUUUUAAUUUGUAUUUUCUAUCUCUGCGGACAAGACUUCAAAGGUGUCUAUCACAUACUUUCAGAUCUACUGAUCAUCCUCUGAAAACCAACAUCGGGGUUCACAAAAUGGAUUUAACCAAUUGGGCUCCCCAGUUCUUCUUCCAGACUCCACCCCUCCAACAGUGUCUCCAAUGACUUCCUGGCAUCACUGAACAGGUCCUUCACUUUGCCACCUCUGAGCCUUUGCUUGAGUGUUUUCUUUCCCCUGGAAUAUCCUUUCCAACCCUAUACACCGACUGAGUCAAACCUUCUGUCUUCUUUUUGAGCAUUUAUGAGCUCCUAUCAUGAGCCAUGCAUUAUGUAAGGGACCUUACAAACACAAUCAGUCUAUGUAACAAUCCUGCCAAGUAUGCUUUAUUUUGGGCAUGGGGAAACAGAGGCUCAAGAGAAGUGACCUGCCCCAGGUUUCAGUGCCAGCACACUAGUAGAGCUGGGAUUUGAACCCAGGUUUGUCUUUUGCACUGGAUUCAGCUUCCUUGCAGACCGCAGCACCUCACAUACAGCCCUUCACUGACCAGCAAUUGGAGGGAAACCACCCCUGUGGCUUAAAACCUGUGGUGCCACAGAUCAUUCCACUCAGUCAAACCCCCAAGACCGUAGAAGUGCAUUUAACACAGCAGCUCCUAGGCACAGGAUUGUCACCUCAGGGCAUAUGACUUCUAAAGUUGCAGAUUAUAAACUUGUUCUCUUUCCCUGUCCUCAG